AUGCUCCCUUUCCUCUGCUUCCUCGUCGCCUCCGCCGCCGCGCUGCGGCACCACCACGCGGCGGCCGACGUGCCCCCGUCCAACAAGCUCAUCUUCAUCCUCGCCGGCCAGUCCAACAUGGCCGGCCGCGGCGGGGUGACGGGGACGCACUGGGACGGCGUGGUGCCGCCGGACUGCGCGCCCUCGGCCUCCGUCCUCCGCCUCUCCCCCUCGUUGCGGUGGGAGCAGGCGCAUGAGCCGCUGCACCAGGGCAUCGACGGCAACCGCACCUGCGGGGUCGGCCCCGGGAUGUCCUUCGCCAACGCCGUGCUCCGCUCCGGCGGGGCGCGCGGCGCCGCCGUCGGCCUCGUGCCCUGCGCCGUCGGGGGCACGCGGAUGGCCGAGUGGGGCAAGGGGUCGGAGCUGUACGCGGACAUGGUGCGGCGGGCCAGGGUCGCCGUGGAGACCGGCGGCCGGAUCGGGGCCGUGCUGUGGUACCAGGGCGAGAGCGACACCGUGCGCUGGGCCGACGCCAGCGAGUACGCGCGCCGCAUGGGCGCCCUCGUCCGCGACCUCCGGCAGGACCUCGCCAUGCCCCACCUCCUCCUCAUCCAGGUUGGGCUGGCAUCAGGGCUUGGGCAGUACACCGAAGUCGUAAGGGAAGCUCAGAAGGGCUUAAAACUUCGGAACGUGAGGUUUGUCGACGCGAUGGGGUUGCCGUUCCAAGACGGCCAUCUGCAUCUUAACACCCAGGCUCAGGUCCAGCUGGGACAUAGGCUGGCUCAGUCCUAUUUGACUUAUGGGCAUGCACAUCCUCUUCGAACACCCACACCAUGGUGGCUGCAAGUUACUACCUUGGCUUGUUGCUUCAUCAUUCUUUGGAGGGAGCCAUACACAUCUGUGCUUAUAUAA
rnacentral:rRNA from 1 species